GGUAAGGUGGCCGAGUAGGCGGUAAGCUGUAAACUUACUUACGGGGUUAAUCCUCCCUUAUCA
rnacentral:tRNA from 1 species